rfam:Lupinus angustifolius cultivar Tanjil contig_15101, whole genome shotgun sequence.
ACCUCCGAGGAUGAACAAAAAUAUACUUUCGUUCUUCUGAGUGAAGUCCAUGCUGAUAAAUAUUGGAGACCUGAACUGAGGACGU